GACGAACGCUGGCGGCGUGCCUAAUACAUGCAAGUCGAACGCACUCUCGUUUAGAUUGAAGGAGCUUGCUCCUGAUUGAUAAACAUUUGAGUGAGUGGCGGACGGGUGAGUAACACGUGGGUAACCUGCCCUAAAGUGGGGGAUAACAUUUGGAAACAGAUGCUAAUACCGCAUAAAACCUAACACCGCAUGGUGUAGGGUUGAAAGAUGGUUUCGGCUAUCACUUUAGGAUGGACCCGCGGUGCAUUAGUUAGUUGGUGAGGUAAAGGCUCACCAAGACCGUGAUGCAUAGCCGACCUGAGAGGGUAAUCGGCCACACUGGGACUGAGACACGGCCCAGACUCCUACGGGAGGCAGCAGUAGGGAAUCUUCCACAAUGGACGAAAGUCUGAUGGAGCAACGCCGCGUGAGUGAAGAAGGUUUUCGGAUCGUAAACUCUGUUAGUUGGAGAAGAAUGUAUCUGAUAGUAACUGAUCAGGUAGUGAUGGUAUCCAACCAGAAA
rnacentral:rRNA from 1 species